rnacentral:rRNA from 1 species
GAAUCCCGUCUUUGGCACGGAUGCCCGGUGCUUCUGUGAUGCGCUCUCGAAGAGUCGAGUUGUUUGGGAAUGCAGCUCAAAAUGGGUGGUGAACUCCAUCUAAAGCUAAAUAUUGGCGAGAGACCGAUAGCGAACAAGUACCGUGAGGGAAAGAUGAAAAGCACUUUGGAAAGAGAGUGAAACAGUACGUGAAAUUGUUGAAAGGGAAACGCUUGAAGUCAGUCGCGUCGACCGAGACUCAGCCUUGCCUUGGCUUGGUGUACUUCUCGGCCCGACGGGUCGGCGUCAAUUUUGCCCCUCGGAUAAUGGCAAGGGAAAGGUGGCACCUUUACGGGUGUGUUAUAGUCUCCUGUCGCAUGCGAGGGGUGGGAUUGAGGAACUCAGCGCGCACCAAGGCGGUGUCGGGGCUUCUGCCCACGUAACGCGCUUAGGAUGCUGGCGUAAUGGCUUUAAACGACCCGUCUUGAAACACGGACCAAGGAGUCCAACACGCCCGCGAGUGUUCGGGUGGAAAACCCGUGCGCGUAAUGAAAGUGAAAGUUGGGACCUCUGUCGUGGAGGGCACCGACGCCCGGACCAGACCUUCUGUGACGGAUCUGCGGUAGAGCGUGUGUGUUGGGACCCGAAAGAUGGUGAACUAUGCCUGAAUAGGGUGAAGCCAGAGGAAACUCUGGUGGAGGCUCGUAGCGAUUCUGACGUGCAAAUCGAUCGUCAAAUUUGGGUAUAGGGGCGAAAGACUAAUCGAACCAUCUAGUAGCUGGUUCCUGCC